AGAGCGAACGCUGGCGGCAGGCCUAACACAUGCAAGUUGAGCGCCCGUAGCAAUACGGGAGCGGCAGACGGGAUAGUAACACGUGGGAACGCGCCCUUCGGUUCGGAAUAACUCAGGGAAACUUGAGCUAAUACCGGAUACGCCCUUACGGGGAAAGAUUUAUUGCCGAAGGAACGGCCCGCGUCCGAUUAGCUAGUUGGUGAGGUAAUGGCUCACCAAGGCUACGAUCGGUAGCUGGUCUGAGAGGAUGACCAGCAUCACUGGGACUGAGACACGGCCCAGACUCCUACGGGAGGCAGCAGUGGGGAAUAUUGGACAAUGGGCGCAAGCCUGAUCCAGCCAUGCCGCGUGGAUGAUGAAGGCCUUAGGGUUGUAAAGUCCUUUUAACGGGGAAGAUAAUGACGGUACCCGUAGAAUAAGCCCCGGCUAACUUCGCGCCAGCAGCCGC
rnacentral:rRNA from 1 species